CAGUCGCCACGGUAAUACGAAGGGGGCUAGCGUUGUUCGGAAUUACUGGGCGUAAAGCGCGCGCAGGCGGUUCUCCAAGUCAGUGGUGAAAGCCCGGAGCUCAACUCCGGAACUGCCAUUGAAACUGUUGAACUUGAGGACGAGAGAGGUGAGUGGAAUUCCCAGUGUAGAGGUGAAAUUCGUAGAUAUUGGGAAGAACACCGGUGGCGAAGGCGGCUCACUGGCUCGUAUCUGACGCUCAGGCGCGAUAGCGUGGGGAUCAAACAGGAUUAGAUACCCCCGUAGUCCCUGUCUCUUAUAA
rnacentral:rRNA from 1 species